AUUGAACGCUGGCGGCAGGCCUAACACAUGCAAGUCGAACGGUAACAGGAAGAAGCUUGCUUCUUUGCUGACGAGUGGCGGACGGGUGAGUAACGCGUGGGAAUCUACCCAGAUCUACGGAAUAACACAGAGAAAUUUGUGCUAAUACCGUAUACGCCCUACGGGGGAAAGAUUUAUCGGAUUUGGAUGAGCCCGCGUUGGAUUAGCUAGUUGGUAGGGUAAAGGCCUACCAAGGCGACGAUCCAUAGCUGGUCUGAGAGGAUGAUCAGCCACACUGGGACUGAGACACGGCCCAGACUCCUACGGGAGGCAGCAGUGGGGAAUAUUGGACAAUGGGGGCAACCCUGAUCCAGCCAUGCCGCGUGAGUGAUGAAGGCCUUAGGGUUGUAAAGCUCUUUCACCGGUGAAGAUAAUGACGGUAACCGGAGAAGAAGCCCCGGCUAACUUCGUGCCAGCAGCCGCAGUAAAAC
rnacentral:rRNA from 1 species